UACGAAGGGGGCUAGCGUUGUUCGGAAUUACUGGGCGUAAAGCGCACGUAGGCGGAUAUUUAAGUCAGGGGUGAAAUCCCAGAGCUCAACUCUGGAACUGCCUUUGAUACUGGGUAUCUCGAGUAUGGAGGAGGUGAGUGGAAUUCCGAGUGUAGAGGUGAAAUUCGUAGAUAUUCGGAGGAACACCAGUGGCGAAGGCGGCUCACUGGUCCAUUACUGACGCUGAGGUGCGAAAGCGUGGGGAGCAAACAGG
rnacentral:rRNA from 1 species